CGGGAUCAAGUUCUCCUAACCCGAAGCUUGCUCCUAGGAUUCUUCAGUAUUUCGACUUCUAAAUUCUAGUAAGUUCUUGUUUUAUUUUUCUUUGGUUUAUGAGUUUAUUUUAAUCUCUUCGCGUAGAGUUUAGAGUAAUCAUCUCUAGCGUAGACGUGGUGUUUAGGCUAGGAUACUCAUAGAUAUUCCCUGACUAGCUAGACCGUGGUAGUAGCGAGGAAUGUGACAUUUCCGAGUUACCUUCGCAGACCAUAUAUCGUUAGCAGG
rnacentral:lncRNA from 1 species